UACGUAGGGUGCAAGCGUUAAUCGGAAUUACUGGGCGUAAAGCGUGCGCAGGCGGUGAUGUAAGACAGGUGUGAAAUCCCCGGGCUUAACCUGGGAGCUGCAUUUGUGACUGCAUCGCUGGAGUGCGGCAGAGGGGGAUGGAAUUCCGCGUGUAGCAGUGAAAUGCGUAGAUAUGCGGAGGAACACCGAUGGCGAAGGCAAUCCCCUGGGCCUGCACUGACGCUCAUGCACGAAAGCGUGGGGAGCAAACAGG
rnacentral:rRNA from 1 species